rnacentral:lncRNA from 1 species
UUUGGUGUCCUAAUGUUUCCAGCAAUUGAGGCAUGUCCACUGUAUUGCUAUGACAUAGAAUCCAUGACUUGCAACGGCACAAAAGUCAAUCCACCGAGUUGCAACUAUUGCCUGGCCGGAAAGGGCUGCACCCUUCACCUUGCCAAUGGAGUGUCAAUAUAUUGUUAACUAGUAAAUGAAAGUUUUCAGGCUUGCUAAUGUUGUGGCUUAAGUAGCUUGCCUAAAUAAUCAAAAUAUUUCUGAAAUUGUGUAGAAUCUUAUGUACUACAAUGUAUUGAAUAAGUUGGGUCAAUAAAGUCUAUUUAAGUUACAAGAAGUUUUGUUUAUUCAUAUUUGCAUAAUCCUAAAAAAAUGUUAAAGUACUAUCUGGAAGGAAAAUGAAGAUUUGCUCUUGAAAAAGUAGAACUUUGAACUAAAAAGUUACUUUUACAUUUUUCUAGCAAGAAAGGGUGGGGAAUUGCUAUAAAGAAAAAAAACUGAGGACGUAGUUGUUCUCUUUUAAUAUGUUGGAUCCCAUCAGUAAUUUUCUCCUCCAAAAAUCAUAGACAAAUUUAAAAUUGUCAAAGUGGAAAAUAGUAAAAUAAAAUAAAAAAAAUAACCAAGUCCAUUGUGGUGUGAACUUACUUCGUUUAUGCUGCAGCCUUGUAGAAUUACUGUUGGAAUUUAUUUGUUGUUCAAAAUCAAGAAAAAAAUUGAUUAACCAUGCGACCGCAUGGAUUAAGCUCAUGCGAUCGCAUGAGGCCAUCCCGAGAAUGGGAGGGCCGGCGAAGCUAUAACCAUGCGACCGCAUGGCUAUUAAUGACUAACCGUUGAGUUAGUUUUUUGACCGUUUUUCAUUUAAAUUUGGUGACUUUUUACCUGUUUCUUGCACCAUUUCGUGGAAACUUGUCAAGGCCUAUAAAUAAAUUAUCCAAGUGCAAGAAAAUUCGUUGAGUUCCAUUAAAAUUUAUCCCCAAAUUAUACUUCCAAAAUAGAGAAAAAAAAAACUAUCACAUAAUCCUUCCAAUUUUCACUUGUUCAUUGUGAAGAUACACCUUUGCUUUUUGGUGUUCUUUUUAUCAAGCCUUGUUUAAUUUUACAAACUAUUUGCCGGUAAUCCUUAAAAAGCAUUGGAAAGGAUGCAAAUAACGUUUGAGGAAGCGAGAUUAAUUUUGUGUUAAAGCCUUCAAUGAUAUACAUUUAUAUUAUUCUCUUCUUUGCAUUUUAUUUUUUCUUCUCCAUUGCCAUUAUUUUCUCAACAAUCUCAAACGUUAUUUGAUUACUAUUACUGCGAUGGAGACAGAAUCUACACUUGCUAUUAUCAAAAUGAUGAAUCAAGAUCUGAAAUUCUGGUCAUACGCGUGUAGAGCUGAAAUUCUGGUCAUACACUAUGAAAACACAUUCACAAUAGUGCAGAGCGGGUAAAAUCACCAUAACUGAUCAUACAGUGGAAACACAUUUACACCAGUGCAAAUUGGGGUAAAAUCACCUAGGUACUUUCUGGUGGUGUUAAAAAAAAAAUAACUUUAGCUAUACUAAAACAUGUAAUUCGAAUAAAAUAUGAUAAUGAAAUGAUUUAAUUAUACUGAAUUUAACUUUAAAAAGUAACUUAUUAUAAAUUCACUUUAUUCUAAAAAUCACGCUUUCAAAUCAACUGUAUGAAAUAAUAAAUUUUCUAAUCUAACAUAAAUUUAAUAAAUAUUAAUUUCUGAAAAAUAAGUUUUAUAUCAACUCACCAAGUAAUAGUUGAUCAUUGUUUCGAUCUUCUCGUUGCCUCCUCACUUUCAAUACCAAGAAUGUUAUUACGCUCUUGCUACAAUAAAUCAUAUCCCUUCAUAAAUGAGCCUUGAGUAUUUUCCUACCGUUAGAAAUAUUAAUUUACCAAUGGGAACUUGAUAUAUUUUAUUUUCAACUUCAUAAUCCCAAUUAAGGUCACUAACAACAUACACUCCUUCAUAUAAAUUAUUUUAUCACCAAAACCCCAAAUAUUCAACACUUAAUUUGGUUCCAAUAUUAAAAAUCCAACAAAAUUAGAUGAUUGACAAUACUAGCACUAUAAUUCUAGAAUAUUGAAAACUAGCAUCAAUAUCUGUAUACUAAAAUUUAUCACUGAAAUCAUGGACAGAAAUAGAGCUUAUCUGGGCAGAUUUUCAAAAAUAGCACCUAUACUACAAUAGCUCGAAAAUGGUUGAAAAAUUAGAGAAUUUCAACCUCAAAUCCUUAAUUUAAGUCUUUAGCAUCAUAUAAUCACAAGAAUUUCAAAGAAUAAACAUUUAUCUCACAAACUCAUUUCCAAAAUUUCCACCUUCUUCAACAUCAAUAUCCAAAUAAACAUUUAUUUGCUAUAACCUUAUUUAUAGCAUCAAAUACAUAUCAAUAACACAUGAUUCUUGCCAAACUUUGAAUUAAAGAAAAUUUCACAUAACCCUUUAAAAAAAUUAAUUCAAUAUACUUAAUACUUACCAUUCUAAAUCAAAAGAGAAUUUGAAGAAGUUGAGAACUCUAGCUUGAACUCUUCUUCUUCUUCUUCUCCUCUCGGUCUCUCUCGACCCUUCACUCGUUUUCUCUAGUGUGUGUGUGUUUUUUUGGAGAGAAAAAUAAUGGGUCAAAGGUAUAUAAAGACCCACUUACUAAAAAUUGCUAGGGAAGUCCCUCAACUCUAUUUUAAUAUAACAUUUAAUCCUUCUAGAUUCCCUUAAUGUAAAAGUAAAUUCCAAACUUUAAAUUGUAUCCAAUUUAACUCUCAUAUAUUGCCAAUUAUAAAAUAAAUCCCAAGAAAAUAUGUUAUUUUAUUUUAGUCAUUAAUUGACUUUGACCUUAACUAGUCAAUUUUUUAUUUUUGAUUAAGAGAAAUUGGGUUGAAACAGAUAUUGCAAAUAUACUCUAUCUGAUUGUCUUCAAUGAAUUUUAACAUUCAGUCGUGUUAUUUGAUCUUUAUUUGAGUAGGUUACUACAGAAUUUAAUCAUCAUUUAAGGGUUGUUUGACAAAGCUUUUGAUAUAUGUUUUAAUAGAUUUCGAUAAAAGUUUAUUAAAUUUGCAGGUCACCUAAAACGUGGAGUUAAAAUUAACUACUGACUUUGAUAUAUAUCUUUUAAGCUUUUUCAAACAAAAACUCAAUGUUAUUAAUUGAUGCCGAUGGUUUUCAAAGUAGCCGUCCUACGAAUUCAAUGAAUCAAAGACAAUUUUUAGGCUGCAACUGGUCGAGUGGAUAACCCGGUCCGUAGCAAAAAGUAGUUGGAUGAUAAAUACAUCUGACUUUAGCGGUGUAAUUAGUGCAUCAGCAUAGAGCAGGAAACAUGACCGCUGUUAACAGUGUUCAGGUUAUGGCUUUUCUUCUGUUCGGUAUGUGCUACUACGCCCUUUACGAAAGGUUUUAGAGUUUUUAAUUCGUAUAUCUCCCAUGAACCAAUUAAGAAACUGAUUCUGGUAUUGGAGUAAGGAUAUCAAAUCAUUAUUCCAAUCACAAAUUUUAGUAAAUGAAUCAGUUCAGUAUUAGUGUUAUAAUUAACUUAUGCGUCGCUUGCUCUUGUUCUGUUUUUUCUUGUGUGAGGCAACUUCCUGGAGAAUCUUAAACACAUGUCCUUAGUUAUCACUUACCCUAUCCCAUGAUCAAUGGCGGAUCUAGAAUUUACAUUUAAUACUGAACAAUAGAGAUGAACCAGGCAUGGACGAGUUUUGAAGCAGCUCGUCAGGUCAUCCCUUGGCCUUGCCUGGACUCCAGGCACACCUGAUGACCUGAACACGCUCGUUGAUGAGCCAGGCGAUGCGUAGAUGUGUCAGGCCUAUGCACUUUUACAAAUCCUUUUUGAAUCUAAAAUGAAAAAACUGUAAUUUUCUUUAAAAUUUUGAAACCAAAUGGCUAUUUGCAGCAGUUUUUUGGCUCACAAAGCCAAGCUCGGCAGGGCAAAAAGGCCUUUCCUAUCUUUUGAGUUUUGAACAUAACGAAACUUUGUUAAUAAAAUGACAAGUUUUUGUGACGAGGCUCAAGACCUUUCAGCCAGGUCCCAAGAGCUGUUGGUCGGACCCGUGUGUGCAGGCACACAUGAACUGCAGAGAGAUUUUGAUGCCUCUGAUACAACAAAGGUAGGAGGCACGUUUGAGAGGGUUAUUAAAGAAUUCUUGUAUUUCACAUCAGACUAUAAUUUUGAGUCCCAUGAAUUGCACCAGUAACAAAUCAACUUGUACUUAAAUUUAUAUAGUAAUGUAGUCCUAACUGAACAAAAAGACGCAACUCGGACAUUUUUGGGUACUCAUUCAUUGAACAUGUUUUUUUUUUUUUUUUUUAUAUUUUCUGAAAACAGGCAUGUUUCUAUUCGGUGUCCUAAUGUUCCCAGCAAUUGAGGCAUGUCCACUAUAUUGCUAUGAAGUAGAAUCCAUGACUUGCAACGGCACAAAAGUCAAUCCACCGCGUUGCAACUGUUGCCUGGCCGGAAAGGGCUGUACCCUUCACCUUGCCAAUGGAGUGUCAAUAUAUUGUUAACUAGUAAACGAGCUUGCUAAUGUUGUGGCUUAAGUAGCAUGCCUAAAUAAUCAAAAUAUUUCUGAAGUUGUGUACAAUCUUAUGGACUACGGUGUAUUGAAUAAAUUUGGUCAAUAAA